rfam:Schistosoma mansoni strain Puerto Rico chromosome W, complete genome
ACCCAGCUGACGAGUCCCAAAUAGGACGAUACGCAUGUCCUGGAU